UAGGGAGUCUUCGGCAAUGGGGGCAACCCUGACCGAGCAACGCCGCGUGAGUGAAGAAGGUUUUCGGAUCGUAAAGCUCUGUUGUAAGAGAAGAACGUGUGUGAGAGUGGAAAGUUCACACAGUGACGGUAACUUACCAGAAAGGGACGGCUAACUACGUGCCAG
rnacentral:rRNA from 1 species